UGACUGGCUUCCUGCUUGUUAUUCAGCAUUAAGGGGUUGGAUUGUGGGGGUUAAAACACCAAAUUGUUUCAGAGUGCAGCUGUGUCUGCAGCUCGCUGCUCCCUCAAGGGUUGGGUCAAAUGCGGAGAACAAAUUUCACACUCCUAAGUGCUUGAAAACCAUUGACACGAAUGGAGAUGGACAAAACAAGCCAGUAACCUCAAGUUCCAACAAAAUGAAGUCAAUUCAGUCUCCAUUUUCCUGCUGUAUGAACAUCACCCGAUUUUGCCAUUUUGGGACCAGACGACAUCGGUGAGCAGUGACUUGUCUGGGAAUCUGUCAAACCCUUCGAACGUUUGAGGUGGGGCCAGUAGGCACCACAGGCUCUUAUUGAGGCAUAUAGUUUAUAACUUCAAUAACUUGCAAUAAAGAAAAGAUUAAAAGGGGCCCUACCACGAAAAUUCUACUUCAAUAAAUUCCAGCUCAAAUGGGUGUUUGUUACUUUUCCCACGGCGCUACCUUAAGAGGCUACCUUAACACCGGGUCCCGCACAGCCCUGCAGAAGCCGCGUGUGUUUGUGUUGUGAAGGAGUUUAGCAUGGCCAGACCUACUAAAGGUAGAUAUAUCAUACGUGCAUCCAUUUUUGAAGAAGUUUGGAUUAUUUUCAUGGGAGAAAUACAGAGACACGGAUUUUGUUUGGGAUGACGUCAUGACGCAGACAGCAGCAGCGGCAAGCCGAGCUUCAGGAAUCGGAGCGUUUUACUUCCGGCAGUUUCUCGAAGACGAGUGAGAAGACUUCAAUCAGGCCCGCAGAGUGCUUGACACGGGAGACGGCGGGAUCGAUCGUGCGGCAGUAAAGGCAGCCACGAACCAGCUUAAAGACAGAGGGGCUAAAAGGUGAACGCCACGCUCGGCUGAACUUGUGGCCUGAUCAAAAGGAAUGCGACCUGCAUUUGGGGAAGCGGCAGAGCUUAUCCAUCCAGGGGUGAGACUUUGGAGGAGAAGAUCCCAAGAACCUGCCAGCUUCCCGUGCAAUUAUCUGCUGACUAAAUACUACUAAAGAUAAGAACAAAAAAGGAAAAAAAAAAGUCCAGCAACCUCACAGUAAAUAUUACCAAACUGCUGCACUGUGAGACAAGAGGGAGGCAACUGGAGAAAAACGGGAGUCGUAAAGCAGAUGGAAGAACAAGGGGGUAAGAGCUGAAUAUUGCUGAGUUUGGGCUUUGCUGCAGGAUGGGAAAUGGAGUGAAAGAGCAAUGAGGGAAGUUUAAAUAAAAGAAAAUCAUUGGAUGUCUUCCCCUGUGCCAGGUCCAGUAACCACACGGUACUUCAGUGCUUCACUUAGCUGUGAUCAAUAUUGACGUUGUCAUUAAGCAGCUCUCUGGUAAUGAGGGUGGGGAAGGGUGUCCAGGGAGGCAUUAGACCUGGAGACCUGUUCCCUGCAUCUUCAAACCACCAAGCAUUCACCAUUUAAGAAAAAACUCAACAUGUUUGGUGCUUUUCUCUCUAUUUAAAUCAACUGGCAGCUUGUAGUUACAGCUUUGAUUUGAUGAUGCAUUCUGUGGUGUUUUGCGUCAAUGCAAAUUGCAUGCAGAAAUGGUGCUGUACAUGAUUGCUGGCCUUAAACAAUUGAAACCGCAGAGUAGUUUGUGUGUCUGUGUGUGAGGGAGAAGUCCUGCACUACAAACCUAAAGCUACAUUCACAAUAGACUUAGCAAUGCGUGUUCAAGAGGCCACUUCCAAUCAAAAGUUUGUGUAAUUUUGCAUUUUGGGGUUCAAUGUUUAAAACUCGCCAACUCCUGUAGGUACAC